rnacentral:sRNA from 1 species
UGUCACGACUUGGUGGAGUGUCACGACU